rnacentral:rRNA from 1 species
GUGCCAGCCGCCGCGGUAAUACGUAGGGCGCGAGCGUUGUCCGGAAUUAUUGGGCGUAAAGAGCUCGUAGGCGGCUGGUCGCGUCUGUCGUGAAAUCCUCUGGCUUAACUGGGGGCUUGCGGUGGGUACGGGCCGGCUUGAGUGCGGUAGGGGAGACUGGAACUCCUGGUGUAGCGGUGGAAUGCGCAGAUAUCAGGAAGAACACCGGUGGCGAAGGCGGGUCUCUGGGCCGUUACUGACGCUGAGGAGCGAAAGCGUGGGGAGCGAACAGGAUU